rnacentral:misc_RNA from 1 species
UUAAUCGGGUCUAAUUGGGUGGGUCAAGACCCAACCCGUUUUUAAGCCCAUUUGAGCCCAAAGUAAACUUAGGCAGGUCAAGAUCAACCCGAUUUCUAUUCCACCUAUUGUAAUAUUUCCAAUUUCAACUCAAUCAGCCAAUUUGACACCCCUAACACAAAUAUUUAGAGUUAUAACAUAGAUAUGUACAGAUAUUUAGAAUG